rnacentral:misc_RNA from 1 species
UCGUAACAAGGUUUCCGUAGGUGAACCUGCGGAAGGAUCAUUAAUAAAUGGUCUACGUUUUUUAAGUAGACGCUUAAUAAUCCUACCCUUUGUGAAUUUGUUUGUUUGAAAUAAUUUUUUUUAAAAUUAUUGAAUGUCUUUCCCUGUUGAAUUGGUUGUCUUUAAUGGCAAGUGAUUCGCAGGGGAGUGUCAAUAAUUUUUAAAAAGACCUUUUUUAAAAUUAAACUUUUUGUAUUCAUUUGUCUAAAAAUUAUUUUUAUAAUAUAAAAACAACUUUUGACAAUGGAUCUCUUGGUUCUCGCAACGAUGAAGAACGCAGCAAAAUGCGAUAAGUAGUGUGAAUUGCAGAAUACGUGAAUCAUCGAAUCUUCGAACGCAUAUUGCACUUUUUUAGUUUACUAAAAAAGUAUGUCUGUUUGAGUAUCAGUAAAAUAUUCUCAUAAAAACUUUUUGUUUUUAUGGUUAUGAGUGUUUUACAACGAUACAAGUUGUUUCACUUUAAAUUUUUUUAAAAUUUGAAUUUUUCUAAUUUUAAAAUAAAAUUGGAUAAAAUUUUCCCGUAAAAAGGAAUAACCUAAACAAUUUUAAUUUUUGAUUAGAAUUCUUCAUUCUAAAGGAAAAUUUAACUAAAUAACUUGAUCUCAAAUCAGAUAAGAGUACCCGCUGAACUUAAGCAUAUCAAUAAGCGGAGGAAAAGAAACUAACAAGGAUUCCCUUAGUAACGGCGAGUGAAGCGGGAAGAGCUCAAAUUUGAAAUCUUCAAGGUUUUACCUUGACGAAUUGUAGUUUAAAGAAGUGUUUUCUGUUGAAGUUUUGGUAAAAGUUCUUUGGAAUAGGACAUCAUAGAGGGUGAGAAUCCCGUAUUUGACCAUUAUUUUCAGCUGUGUGAUACACUUUCAAAGAGUCGGAUUGUUUGGGAAUGCAGUCCAAAAUGGGUGGUAAAUUUCAUCUAAAGCUAAAUAUUGGCGAGAGACCGAUAGCGAACAAGUACCGUGAGGGAAAGAUGAAAAGAACUUUGAAAAGAGAGUUAAACAGUACGUGAAAUUGUCAAAAGGGAAGCGUUUGACACCAGUGUUGUUUUCUCGAAAAUCAAUUAAAAAGAGUUGGAUUUUGUGUUGUAUUGACCUUAACAGCUUGCUUCACUCUUUUCCAGCUUUUUUUAAUGCACUUUUCGUUUAACAAGUCAACAUCAGUUUCUUUUGUUGUAAAAGGGUCAUUGGAAGGUGGCUUUCUCUUCGGAGAAAGUGUUUAUAGCCUUUGAUCUCUGCAAUCGGAGAGACUGAGGUCUGCAGCGUAGAUCCUUCGGGGUUAGAUACAUUUGUGCUAAGCUACAGCUUUUCAUAGACAACUUGUUGACUAUGUUUAGUCUUGUGACUUACCCGCUUAUGCUAUUUUACCUACGCUUAGGAUGUUGAC